CCUACGGGGGGCUGCAGUGGGGAAUAUUGGACAAUGGGGGGCAACCCUGAUCCAGCCAUGCCGCGUGUGUGAAGAAGGCCCUCGGGUUGUAAAGCACUUUCAGUGAGGAAGAACGCCUGGUGGUUAAUACCCAUCAGGAAAGACAUCACUCACAGAAGAAGCACCGGCUAACUCCGUGCCAGCAGCCGCGGUAAUACGGAGGGUGCGAGCGUUAAUCGGAAUUACUGGGCGUAAAGCGCGCGUAGGUGGCUUGAUAAGCCGGUUGUGAAAGCCCCGGGCUCAACCUGGGAACGGCAUCCGGAACUGUCAAGCUAGAGUGCAGGAGAGGAAGGUAGAAUUCCCGGUGUAGCGGUGAAAUGCGUAGAGAUCGGGAGGAAUACCAGUGGCGAAGGCGGCCUUCUGGACUGACACUGACACUGAGGUGCGAAAGCGUGGGUAGCAAACAGGAUUAGAUACCCCUGUAGUC
rnacentral:rRNA from 1 species